rnacentral:lncRNA from 1 species
UACCUUGGGGAUGUUGAAAAUCAAGUUAGUUAUUGGCAGUUCCUGUUUCUGUACGAGUUGUUAAUAGCUAAAAUUUAAAGGGAGUUGGUCAAUCAACAGAGUGUUAUUUUCUUAAGUGGGUAACUGCUGUUUGUCUUUUUUUGACUUUGCUGUUGCUGUUACCUGCCAGCAAGUUUACCUCUCAUUCUAAACUCCCUCAUAAAAAGAAAGCAAGCUAGUUUUCACAGAAACGUAAAGACCAUUUUUCUUGGAAUCUAGACUCAUGGCCUGGGAGAGCAGGUGGGUGGGUUAGGAGUCAGUCUAAGAAAUCUUUUAGAAAAGGGUAUCAAAUUGUUAAGCGUACUUGAAAAUAUAAUAAAUACAGAAAUCGUACUAGAAACGAGGGCAGCUCAUUCUUUGUGUAUUCUUUGGAUGUUAUAGAGAGAAUGUUUUUGGUAAAAUACAGAUCCUUCUGUGCUUACAUUUUGUGACAUUCUUGCUGGGACGGUUUUACAUUUUGAAGCUAAGGAAUUCAUUGAAGAAUUUUAAAGUCCAUGUUUUCGUGUUUGUUUCAGUUGAGGAUGGUCUUACUUCUCCAUGUUCUGAAACCAGUUUAAACAAAAACAAAAACCAGACAACAACCUCGCAAGGAGCUCAGGGUAAACAAACAGCCUUUUUCUGGAAAGUAAAAUGUUUCCCCAAGAUGGGGAAAUUGAGAUGA